AUUUAUAUGAGUUUGAUCCUGGCUCAGAAUGAACGCUAGUAGUAUGCUUAACACAUGCAAGUUUAACGAAAUAUAUUUCUAUUUCGUAGCGAACGGGUGAGUAAUCACAGAAUUUUACCUAUUAGUUCAGAACAAAAGUUUUUUUAAAACUAAAAUACUGAAUGAAUUUUAAAAGGUUAAUUUUUUCCACUAAUAGAUAAAUCUGUUUAAGAUUAGGUUGUUGGUAAUUUAAAAGCUUACCAAGCCUACGAUCUUUAGUUGGUCUGAGAGGAUGAUCAACCACACUAGAACUGAAAGAAGGUCUAGGCUGACUUGUCGGCCAGCAGUGAGGAAUAUUGGACAAUGAACGAAAGUUUGAUCCAGCAAUACUAACUGGGUGAUGACGGCUUAUUUAAGUUGUAAAGCCCUUUCAUUAAAGAAGAUAAUGACAUUAUUUAAUGCAAUUCAGUCCUGGCUAAUACUCGUGCCAGCAGCCGCGGUAAUACGGGAAGGGCAAGCGUUAUUCGGCAUGACUGGGCGUAAAGAGUCCGUAGAUGGUAAAGUAAGUUUUUGUUAAAUUUUAAUACUUAAUGUUAACACAACAAUAAAUACUGCUUAUUUACUAAGAGUUAAAAGAGAAAAGUAGAAUUUUAUACGAUUAGGGGUGAAAUCCGUAGAUAUAUAAAGGAAUGCCAAAAGCGAAGGCAGCUUUUUACUGUAAACUGACAUUGAGGGACGAAAGUAUGGGUAGCAAACAGGAUUAGAGACCCUGGUAGUCCAUACUGUAAAUUCUGAGUGCUGUAAUUUUAUAAUAUUGAGUAUAUUAUUUAGAUUUUCAAGCUAACGCAAUAAGCACUCCGCCUGAAGAGUACGGUCGCAAGGCUGGAACUCAAAGGAAUUGACGGGGGUCUAACACUAGUGGUGGAGCAUGUGGUUUAAUGCGAUAAUCCGCGCAAAACCUUACCAAUUCUUGACAUAAUUUUAGAGAUAAAUGAUUUGCAACUUAAAAGUUACAAAUCAUCCCUUUUAUUACAGGUGUUGCACGACUGUCGUCAGCUCGUGUCGUGAGAUGUUUGGUUAAGUCCUGAAACGGGCGCAACUCUUACUUUUAUAAAGUUUUUACAAACAAAUAAAUAUGUUAUUUUUGUUUUAAAAGUACAGUCAAUGAUAAAUUGAAGGAAGGUAAGAAUGAAGUCAAGUCAAUGUGACCCUAAUGAAUUGGGCUACACAUGUGCUACAAUGAAAACUACAAAAGGUGACAAAAAAGAUAAUUUUUGGUUAAUCCAAAAAAGUUUUCCAAGUUCGGAUUGUAAACUGCAACUCGUUUACAUGAAGUUGGAAUCACUAGUAAUCGCGAAUCAGCACGUUGCGGUGAACACGUAAAUUGACCUUGUACACACCGCCCGUCACUUGCAAAGAGUUAGUUUCACUUGAAGGUUUUAAUAAAGCCCAUUGAGAGAUUAACAAUUUGGAUGAAGUCGUAACAAGGUAGCCGUACGGGAACGUGUGGCUGGAAUAUAAUGAAA
rnacentral:rRNA from 1 species